CAGAUAAUUUUAUUUGAAUUUAAGUUACUUCAAUAGAACAGUAAAGUCUAGAGUGAAAGAUGUUGAUAUUAUUCUUGAUCCUUUAUAUUUGGGAUAAAUUCUGCACUUGCCUUGUGAAGGCUAUACUAAUAUGGAGCUCCCAAUUAAAGAAGAAGGAAUUAAUGCUAUCUUAGGUAGAACUUUUACUGGUAGUUUAAAUAAAUUAGAAGCC
rnacentral:lncRNA from 1 species